AUGCUCACUUCGGCAGCACAUAUACUAAAAUUGGAAUGAUAACAGAGAAGAUUAGCAUGGCCCCUCUACAAAGAUGACACGCAAAUUCGUUAAACGUUCCAUAUUUUU
rnacentral:snRNA from 1 species